ensembl:snRNA U6 U6 spliceosomal RNA
UCUCGUGCUCGCUUCUGCAACACGUACUGGUAUACUAAAAAAUAAAUAAAAUGGAACGAUACAGAGAAGAUUAGCAUGGCCCCGAGCAAGGAUGAUACGCAAAUUCAUGAAACGUUCCAUUAAAAA